AUCGAGCUAAACAAAAAAAGACUCAUAACGUGCAUACAAUCCAUUUGUGCGUAUAUAUGAGCCAUGCGGUCACUUAUACACACUGUGGUGGCUGUCGUCUGCUGUUUUUGGCGGGCAAUGACUUAUAAGUGCCGUGUGACUAGGGGGUAUGAUCGGCAUGCUAUGCGCCUUUUGGGCGUAUAGUAUGGGCGCAUACACCCGUUAACUGUAAAAACGGUGUCCAAUUUGGCGUCUACGCGUCACCUAGCUACUGCCUGGACCGUCGGUAGCGAUGAAAGGUGCCGAGAAAGUUCCUCUUUUUGAGUUGAGCAGACUUAAUGAGCCACGCAGGGUGGCCGCCAAAAACCCAAAACACUAACGUUAUGUUGAUAUAUUUGAAAUGGAGUGGGGUUAACUGUCGUUUUCGGUGGUGGACCCCAUCUUCGAGCCUCUUGUA
rnacentral:rRNA from 1 species